rnacentral:rRNA from 1 species
GAUGAACGCUGGCGGCGUGCCUAAUACAUGCAAGUCGAGCGAACGGACGAGAAGCUUGCUUCUCUGAUGUUAGCGGCGGACGGGUGAGUAACACGUGGAUAACCUACCCAUAAGACUGGGAUAACUUCGGGAAACCGGAGCUAAUACCGGAUAAUAUUUUGAACCGCAUGGUUCAAAAGUGAAAGACGGUCUUGCUGUCACUUAUAGAUGGAUCCGCGCUGCAUUAGCUAGUUGGUAAGGUAACGGCUUACCAAGGCAACGAUGCAUAGCCGACCUGAGAGGGCGAUCGGCCACACUGGAACUGAGACACGGUCCAGACUCCUACGGGAGGCAGCAGUAGGGAAUCUUCCGCAAUGGGCGAAAGCCUGACGGAGCAACGCCGCGUGAGUGAUGAAGGUCUUCGGAUCGUAAAACUCUGUUAUUAGGGAAGAACAUAUGUGUAAGUAACUGUGCACAUCUUGACGGUACCUAAUCAGAAAGCCACGGCUAACUACGUGCCAGCAGCCGCGGUAAUACGUAGGUGGCAAGCGUUAUCCGGAAUUAUUGGGCGUAAAGCGCGCGUAGGCGGUUUUUUAAGUCUGAUGUGAAAGCCCACGGCUCAACCGUGGAGGGUCAUUGGAAACUGGAAAACUUGAGUGCAGAAGAGGAAAGUGGAAUUCCAUGUGUAGCGGUGAAAUGCGCAGAGAUAUGGAGGAACACCAGUGGCGAAGGCGACUUUCUGGUCUGUAACUGACGCUGAUGUGCGAAAGCGUGGGGAUCAAACAGGAUUAGAUACCCUGGUAGUCCACGCCGUAAACGAUGAGUGCUAAGUGUUAGGGGGUUUCCGCCCCUUAGUGCUGCAGCUAACGCAUUAAGCACUCCGCCUGGGGAGUACGACCGCAAGGUUGAAACUCAAAGGAAUUGACGGGGACCCGCACAAGCGGUGGAGCAUGUGGUUUAAUUCGAAGCAACGCGAAGAACCUUACCAAAUCUUGACAUCCUUUGACAACUCUAGAGAUAGAGCCUUCCCCUUCGGGGGACAAAGUGACAGGUGGUGCAUGGUUGUCGUCAGCUCGUGUCGUGAGAUGUUGGGUUAAGUCCCGCAACGAGCGCAACCCUUAAGCUUAGUUGCCAUCAUUAAGUUGGGCACUCUAAGUUGACUGCCGGUGACAAACCGGAGGAAGGUGGGGAUGACGUCAAAUCAUCAUGCCCCUUAUGAUUUGGGCUACACACGUGCUACAAUGGACAAUACAAAGGGCAGCGAAACCGCGAGGUCAAGCAAAUCCCAUAAAGUUGUUCUCAGUUCGGAUUGUAGUCUGCAACUCGACUACAUGAAGCUGGAAUCGCUAGUAAUCGUAGAUCAGCAUGCUACGGUGAAUACGUUCCCGGGUCU